rnacentral:rRNA from 1 species
GACGAACGCUGGCGGCGUGCUUAACACAUGCAAGUCGAACGGAAAGGCCCUGCUUUUGUGGGGUGCUCGAGUGGCGAACGGGUGAGUAACACGUGAGUAACCUGCCCUUGACUUUGGGAUAACUUCAGGAAACUGGGGCUAAUACCGGAUAGGAGCUCCUGCUGCAUGGUGGGGGUUGGAAAGUUUCGGCGGUUGGGGAUGGACUCGCGGCUUAUCAGCUUGUUGGUGGGGUAGUGGCUUACCAAGGCUUUGACGGGUAGCCGGCCUGCGAGGGUGACCGGCCACAUUGGGACUGAGAUACGGCCCAGACACCUACGGGAGGCAGCAGUGGGGAAUAUUGCACAAUGGGCGGAAGCCUGAUGCAGCAACGCCGCGUGCGGGAUGACGGCCUUCGGGUUGUAAACCGCUUUCGCCUGUGACGAAGCGUGAGUGACGGUAAUGGGUAAAGAAGCACCGGCUAACUACGUG